GCGCAGCAGUGAGAAUUUUUCUCAAUGGGGGAAACCCUGAAGGAGCGACGCCGCGUGGAGGAUGAAGGCUUUCGGGUUGUAAACUCCUGUCAUUUGAGAACAAGUGGCCGAACGUAACUACUUCGGCCUUGAUAGUAUCAGAAGAGGAAGGGACGGCUAACUCUGUGCCAGCAGCCGCGGUAAUACAGAGGUCUCAAGCGUUGUUCGGAUUCAUUGGGCGUAAAGGGUGCGUAGGUGGCGCCGUAAGUCGGGUGUGAAAUUUCGGAGCUUAACUCCGAAACUGCAUUCGAUACUGCGGUGCUUGAGGACUGGAGAGGAGACUGGAAUUUACGGUGUAGCAGUGAAAUGCGUAGAGAUCGUAAGGAAGACCAGUGGCGAAGGCGGGUCUCUGGACAGUUCCUGACACUGAGGCACGAAGGCCAGGGGAGCAAACGGGAUUAGAUACCCCUGUAGU
rnacentral:rRNA from 1 species